GUGCUCACUUUGGAAGCACAUACACCAAACUUGGAACAAUGCAGAAAAGACUAGCAUGGCCCCCACAGAAAAAUGACACACAAAUUCAUGAAGUGUUCCAUGUUUUU